rnacentral:rRNA from 1 species
CAGUCGAACGCGUUGGCCCAAUUGAUUGAUGGUGCUUGCACCUGAUUGAUUUUGGUCGCCAACGAGUGGCGGACGGGUGAGUAACACGUAGGUAACCUGCCCAGAAGCGGGGGACAACAUUUGGAAACAGAUGCUAAUACCGCAUAACAGCGUUGUUCGCAUGAACAACGCUUAAAAGAUGGCUUCUCGCUAUCACUUCUGGAUGGACCUGCGGUGCAUUAGCUUGUUGGUGGGGUAACGGCCUACCAAGGCGAUGAUGCAUAGCCGAGUUGAGAGACUGAUCGGCCACAAUGGGACUGAGACACGGCCCAUACUCCUACGGGAGGCAGCAGUAGGGAAUCUUCCACAAUGGGCGCAAGCCUGAUGGAGCAACACCGCGUGAGUGAAGAAGGGUUUCGGCUCGUAAAGCUCUGUUGUUAAAGAAGAACACGUAUGAGAGUAACUGUUCAUACGUUGACGGUAUUUAACCAGAAAGUCACGGCUAACUACGUGCCAGCAGCCGCGGUAAUACGUAGGUGGCAAGCGUUAUCCGGAUUUAUUGGGCGUAAAGAGAGUGCAGGCGGUUUUCUAAGUCUGAUGUGAAAGCCUUCGGCUUAACCGGAGAAGUGCAUCGGAAACUGGAUAACUUGAGUGCAGAAGAGGGUAGUGGAACUCCAUGUGUAGCGGUGGAAUGCGUAGAUAUAUGGAAGAACACCAGUGGCGAAGGCGGCUACCUGGUCUGCAACUGACGCUGAGACUCGAAAGCAUGGGUAGCGAACAGGAUUAGAUACCCUGGUAGUCCAUGCCGUAAACGAUGAGUGCUAGGUGUUGGAGGGUUUCCGCCCUUCAGUGCCGGAGCUAACGCAUUAAGCACUCCGCCUGGGGAGUACGACCGCAAGGUUGAAACUCAAAGGAAUUGACGGGGGCCCGCACAAGCGGUGGAGCAUGUGGUUUAAUUCGAAGCUACGCGAAGAACCUUACCAGGUCUUGACAUCUUGCGCCAACCCUAGAGAUAGGGCGUUUCCUUCGGGAACGCAAUGACAGGUGGUGCAUGGUCGUCGUCAGCUCGUGUCGUGAGAUGUUGGGUUAAGUCCCGCAACGAGCGCAACCCUUGUUACUAGUUGCCAGCAUUAAGUUGGGCACUCUAGUGAGACUGCCGGUGACAAACCGGAGGAAGGUGGGGACGACGUCAGAUCAUCAUGCCCCUUAUGACCUGGGCUACACACGUGCUACAAUGGACGGUACAACGAGUCGCGAACUCGCGAGGGCAAGCAAAUCUCUUAAAACCGUUCUCAGUUCGGACUGCAGGCUGCAACUCGCCUGCACGAAGUCGGAAUCGCUAGUAAUCGCGGAUCAGCAUGCCGCGGUGAAUACGUUCCCGGGCCUUGUACACACCGC